GUCAGCCCAGUUGGUUAAUGCGCAUGUUUGAGAAGCAGAGGUCGCAGGUUCGAAUCCGGUGUGAUG
rnacentral:tRNA from 1 species